GAUGAACGCUAGCUACAGGCUUAACACAUGCAAGUCGCGGGGCAGCAUGGGGGUUGCUUGCAAUCCCCGAGGGCGACGGGCGCACGGGGGAGUAACGCGUAUCUAACCUGCCCUUCACCACUGGAUAACCCGGCGAAAGUCGGACUAAUACCGUAUGUUGUCCAUUGACGGCAUCCGAUUCGGACGAAUAGCUUGGCGGCGUAGGACGGGGGUGCUAGCGGUUGGCUGGACGGCGUGGUAAGGGGCCGCCGUGGCGGCGGUCGGUAGGGGUUCUGAGAGGAAGGUCCCCCACACUGGAACCGCGACACGGUCCAGACUCCUACGGGAGGCAGCAGUGAGGAAUAUUGGUCAAUGGGCGUAAGCCUGACCCAGCCAAGUAGCGUGCAGGAUGCCGGCCAUAUGGGUUGUAAACUGCUUUUAUGCGGGGAUAAAGUGGCCCACGUGUGGGUUUUUGCCGGUACCGCAUGAAUAAGGACCGGCUAAUUCCGUG
rnacentral:rRNA from 1 species